UACAGAGGUCUCAAGCGUUGUUCGGAUUUAUUGGGUUUAAAGGGUGCGUAGGCGGCUUUGUAAGUCAGUGGUGAAAUAUGGCAGCUCAACUGUCAGGGUGCCAUUGAUACUGCGGAGCUUGAGUACAGAUGAGGUAGGCGGAAUUGACGGUGUAGCGGUGAAAUGCUUAGAUAUCGUCAAGAACACCGAUAGCGAAGGCAGCUUACUGGGCUGUAACUGACGCUGAGGCACGAAAGUGUGGGGAUCAAACAGG
rnacentral:rRNA from 1 species